AAGUGCUGACCGAGAAAGGCCCACAGGCGGCCAAGGUCAGACGCCACGCAGCCCAGGACACGGUGGGGGGCCCCUGUCACCGCCAAGCGUGGAGGCUGGGCCGGCGUGCAGGGCAGAGGCUUGGGGACAGAGACCCCAGCCCAGAGGGCCCAGGAACUGCUCGAGGGGGACACCAGCACCCACUGGGAGCAACAGAAGUGAGGAGGACGAGGCUGCAGAUCCUGGGUGCAGGGGGAGGAGGCCUGAAUUGAAUUAAGACACCGAGGCUGAGCCGAGGCGAACGCCACGGCCAAGGUCACCGAGCUGAGAAGAGCUCCAAAGCUUGGCUCCAAACUCAGAUCUUCUGACUCGAAUCCAGCGCGGCCGAGGCAGGAAACCGGCAGGAUGGCCCCCGCGGGCCGGCUGCUAUGCGCUGGCCCGUCCUCAGAUAAGGAGCUCCCGGGAGAGGAAGGAUCUGGGACAAAGAUCUGAGCGGAGCGGGCGGACAGGAAAUUCUGCCGGCUGGGAUUUUCCCUGCCACCGGGACCCAGGCAGAGGGGCAGGAGGGGCCAGCGAGCCAGGGUUCCCGGAGACGCCCAGUCACGGUGCCAGGCUCCCCAGCGGGCCCCUGGUAGGUAGAGUCCCUGCCCUCUAGGAUCUCACCAUCCAGGCAGUCCGAUCCCCAGGGUGCAAGGAGAUCCUGCCAAUCACAGCUGCCGGGGGCAGGGGGGACGGGGGCUGCUCAGAGAGGAAAACACAUUUGGCUGGGGCCCUGGGAAAGGGUGCGGAAGAGGGGGCUGGGUAGAGCAAGAACAGGUGAUUUUCUUUUUAAUAUUUUUAUUGAUUCCAGAGAGGAAAGGAAAGGGAGAGAGAGAGAUAGAAACAUCUAUGAUGAGAAUGAUGGAUCGGCUGCCUCCGGCACGCCCCACACUGGGGAUGGAGCCUGCAACCCGGGCAUGUGCCCUGACCGGGAAUCGAACCGUGACCUCCUGGUUCACCGGUUGACGCUCUACCACUGAGCCACGCCGGCCGGGCAAGAUCAGGUGGUUUUCCAAGUGAAAGAAUCAGCAUGGGCCAUGGCAUGGAGGCAGGUGGCCGGGAGCCGUCGGAGGUCUGUGCACGGGACAGUCCCAAGCCUUAAAAACAGGACACACACACUUCCUCUUGUUCCUCUGGGCGGAGCGUGAUGAAAUCUGGGAGCAGAAGAGGGGCCCCGCCAGCGCCAGGGCCAGGGCCGUGUCCGCUGGCUGCCUGGCCGUCCCCUGAAGGGAUGCUCUCAGGAACCAAGUGAGGCGGCCUUGAAGAAAACAGACAGAUCCCUGCAAGUAAGCCGUGGACACUGGUGCAUAACCGCAGUGGCUCACAGACGCUGUGGGCUGACUCCGUGCGGCCCCGGGAAUGUCCUGCCUGAGCCUCCUGAGAGCCCGUGCAAGGCGGGUACUGUCACUUUCUCACUCUGCAGAUGAAGAGGCAGGAUGGGAGAGGUUAUACGGCUUUUCCAGGACCGUACAGCUAGUAGGUUGCACAUCUGGAAAUUUACAUAUAUAUAUUUAUUGAUUUCAGAUAUGAAGACAGAGAGAGAGAGAGCGAGAGAAACAUCAAUGAUGAGAGGGAAUCAUGGAUCUGCUGCCUCCUGCAUACCCUACACUAGGGAUCGAACCCGCAACCCAGUCAUGUGCCCCUGACUGGGAAUCGAACCGUGACCUCCUGGUUCAUAGGUCAUUGCUCAACCUCUGAGCCACGCUGCCCGGGCUGCACAGCCAGAAUUUAAACCCAGGACCCGUGCUCCUCCCCCCGCCCCGAUUAUAUUCUGCCUCUCAGCAGCACCCUUGGUGCACAAAGCCAGUAGCCAAAUGACCACGGGAACAAGUAAGUUCAGAGCCCUCUGCGAAGUGAUCAGACCGGGCGCUGCCUCUGGGAGCCUGGCCGGCCCUAGAAGCCGGAAGAAAAGUCUGAGUGAGGGUGGCUGGCUUCCUCAGAGGCCAGACAGUCCUCCUCAUGGGCUAGCCAGGGUCCGGCCACGUGGGCCAGCCCUGCUUGCUCGGAGACAAGACUCAGCAAAGAUCCUCCCGGCCAGACACCCCCGGUGACACCAAGGCUGCUGAGCUUGCACGCGGAGCAGACCUGCCUUCGGAGGCACGGAGCCCCCUCACCGGCCCGCACGGCCGGGACACCGUGCCCAGAGCACUGCUGCGUGGAGCCGCAGAGCUUGUGUGAGGAACCUUGCUGAUCAUGCGCCCAGACUCCGUGUGCCGGCAGUUCACACAGGGUACAGAGGGAUCCAUUGCUCCGUGACGUCUGGGGACACUGAGAGACGCGGCUGGUCUGUGGCUGGUGGCUGGGCUCCUCUGGAGAUGUCCUCCUCACAUGGCUGGUGGCUGAUGCUGGCUGUCAGUGGGGACUCAGCAGGGACUGUCACCAGAAUAUGUCUAUGUGGCUUUGGUGAUCUUACAGCAUGGAGGCCUCAGCGUAGUGAGACUUCUUAUAUAACAACUGUAUGUCUUCUGGGGUUGCCAUACCAAAGUACUACGCACUGAGUGGCUUAGAACCCAACGGAACUGCCCAGCCAGUUCUCAAUUGGUUGGGUGUCACCCCAUGCCUCCAAAGAUCCCUGGUUCGAUUCCCGGUCAGGCCACAUGCUUGGGUUGUAGGGCUGAUUCCCAGUAGGGGCCGUGCAGGAGGCAGCCAAUCGAUGUUCCUAUCUCUCUCCCUGCCCCUCUUUCUAAAAUCAAUAAAAAACAUUUAAACAAAA